rnacentral:snRNA from 1 species
GUGCUCACUUCGGCAGCGCAUAUACUAAAACUGGAAUGAUACAGAGAAGAUUAGCAUAGCCUCUGGGCAAGGUGACACGCAAAUUCGUGAAGCAUUUCAUAUUAAA